rnacentral:rRNA from 1 species
AUACGGAGGGAGCAAGCGUUAUUCGGAAUCACUGGGCGUAAAGGACGCGCAGGCGGGUUUGUAAGUCAGGUGUGAAAUCCUACAGCUCAACUGUAGAACUGCACUUGAAACUACAGACCUAGAGUAUGGAAGGGGCAGAUGGAAUUAGUGGUGUAGGGGUAAAAUCCGUAGAUAUCACUAGGAAUACCGAAAGCGAAGGCGAUCUGCUGGGACAUUACUGACGCUGAGGCGUGAAAGCGUGGGGAGCAAACAGGAUUAGAUACCCCGGUAGUCC